CAUGCAAGUCGAACGAUGAAGCCCUUCGGGGUGGAUUAGUGGCGAACGGGUGAGUAACACGUGGGCAAUCUGCCCUUCACUCUGGGACAAGCCCUGGAAACGGGGUCUAAUACCGGAUAACACUCUGUCCCGCAUGGGACGGGGUUAAAAGCUCCGGCGGUGAAGGAUGAGCCCGCGGCCUAUCAGCUUGUUGGUGGGGUAAUGGCCUACCAAGGCGACGACGGGUAGCCGGCCUGAGAGGGCGACCGGCCACACUGGGACUGAGACACGGCCCAGACUCCUACGGGAGGCAGCAGUGGGGAAUAUUGCACAAUGGGCGAAAGCCUGAUGCAGCGACGCCGCGUGAGGGAUGACNGCCUUCGGGUUGUAAACCUCUUUCAGCA
rnacentral:rRNA from 1 species